rfam:Botryotinia fuckeliana T4 unplaced genomic scaffold BcT4_SuperContig_F_V3__V4, whole genome shotgun sequence.
UCUUUGAUGGUCUAACGGUCAUGAUUUCCGCUUGUCAAUAAUAUUGCAAGUCGCGGGAGACCGGGGUUCGACUCCCCGUCAGAGAG